rnacentral:tRNA from 1 species
ACCUGACUGGCUCAGUUGGUGGAGCGCGAGACUCUUGAUCUCCAGGUCAUGAGUUGGAGCCCCAUGCUGGGUG